rnacentral:piRNA from 1 species
UCUGAAAUUGGCUCCAGAGUGACCUGUC